GACGUAGGGUGCCAGCGUUGUUCGGAAUUACUGGGUGUAAAGGGUUCGUAGGCGGUGCGGCAAGUCGGGAGUGAAAUCUCUGGGCUUAACCCAGAGGCUGCUUCCGAAACUGCUGUGCUUGAGUGUGGGAGAGGCGCGUGGAAUUGCAGGUGUAGCGGUGAAAUGCGUAGAUAUCUGCAGGAACACCCGUGGCGAAAGCGGCGCGCUGGACCACUACUGACGCUGAGGAACGAAAGCUAGGGGAGCAAACAGG
rnacentral:rRNA from 1 species